UCCCUGGUGGCUCAGACAGUAAAGAAUCUGCCUGCGAUGCAGGAGACCCAGGUUCGAUCCCUGGUUGGGAAG
rnacentral:tRNA from 1 species